rnacentral:rRNA from 1 species
AUGCCACUCUGGAAAGGUGGAUGGCCGCUGUUACUGGGAACAAGGAUAACCCUCACGGAGCCAGAAGGAUUCCUCCACUCGACUGCCACAGUGAUCCAAACAAGGUAUGUCUGCUCCACUUCCCAUUGUAUUCUCGUCACAUUUAUUUCUGUUUUCUCUGCCGAUCGGUCGACUGAUCUUUGUCUUGAUGUCUAUCAGGCCCUCACUGAGUUGUACUCGAUGCCCAACGGAGCACAGGCUCCGACUGAGGAGGGAGAAGCGAGCGGGGGCGAGAGCCAGGAGGAGGAGUGGGACUCGGACGCCGCUGAGGAUGAUGAUGAUGAUGAUGACGAUGAUGAUGAUGUUGAUGAGGACGCGGAAGAGGAGGAGGAGGAGGUUGCACCACCACGCUCGAAAAGGCGGUCGAAGCUUGUCCAUGACCCUGCGACUGAACGUGGCAAGGGGGUUGCGACUGUCACACAGUCGACCAAGCGCCCUCGGACCACCUCUCCGGCGCCGACUGAAAAGGCGUCGAAGCAGCCCAGGGCGGCCCCGUCAAAGCCGACCAAGCUCCUGCCGAAGAUGAAGGUGUCCAUCCCCACCAUAUCAGGGUAA